GCGCUCGCUUCAGCAGCACAUUUACUAAAACUAGAACGAUACAGAGAAGAUUCGCAUGGUCCCUGAGCAAGGAUGACACGCAAAUUCGUGAAGCGUUCCACAUUUUU
rnacentral:snRNA from 1 species